UACGUAGGUGGCAAGCGUUGUCCGGAAUUACUGGGCGUAAAGGGUGCGUAGGCGGUUCGUUAAGUCUGUUGUGAAAUCCCCGGGCUCAACCUGGGAAUGGCAAUGGAUACUGGCGGGCUAGAGUGUGUCAGAGGAUGGUGGAAUUCCCGGUGUAGCGGUGAAAUGCGUAGAGAUCGGGAGGAACAUCAGUGGCGAAGGCGGCCAUCUGGGACAACACUGACGCUGAAGCACGAAAGCGUGGGGAGCAAACAGG
rnacentral:rRNA from 1 species